rnacentral:rRNA from 1 species
UACAGAGGGGGCAAGCGUUGUUCGGAAUUACUGGGCGUAAAGGGCGCGUAGGCGGCCUUCUAAGUCGAACGUGAAAUCCCCGGGCUUAACUUGGGAAUUGCGCUCGAAACUACGUGGCUGGAGUGUGGCAGAGGAAGGUGGAAUUCCACGUGUAGCGGUGAAAUGCGUAGAGAUGUGGAGGAACACCGAUGGCGAAGGCAGCCUUCUGGGCCAACACUGACGCUCAUGCACGAAAGCGUGGGGAGCAAACAGG